rnacentral:rRNA from 1 species
AGAGUUUGAUCCUGGCUCAGGACGAACGCUGGCGGCGUGCUUAACACAUGCAAGUCGAACGGAAAGGCCCUGCUUUUGUGGGGUGCUCGAGUGGCGAACGGGUGAGUAACACGUGAGUAACCUGCCCUUGACUUUGGGAUAACUUCAGGAAACUGGGGCUAAUACCGGAUAGGAGCUCCUGCUGCAUGGUGGGGGUUGGAAAGUUUCGGCGGUUGGGGAUGGACUCGCGGCUUAUCAGCUUGUUGGUGGGGUAGUGGCUUACCAAGGCUUUGACGGGUAGCCGGCCUGAGAGGGUGACCGGCCACAUUGGGACUGAGAUACGGCCCAGACUCCUACGGGAGGCAGCAGUGGGGAAUAUUGCACAAUGGGCGGAGGCCUGAUGCAGCAACGCCGCGUGCGGGAUGACGGCCUUCGGGUUGUAAACCGCUUUCGCCUGUGACGAAGCGUGAGUGACGGUAAUGGGUAAAGAAGCACCGGCUAACUACGUG